AUUGAACGCUGGCGGCAUGCUUUACACAUGCAAGUCGAACGGCAGCGCGGGCUUCGGCCUGGCGGCGAGUGGCGAACGGGUGAGUAAUACAUCGGAACGUGCCCAGUAGUGGGGGAUAGCUCGGCGAAAGCCGGAUUAAUACCGCAUACGACCUGAGGGUGAAAGCGGGGGAUCUUCGGACCUCGCGCUAUUGGAGCGGCCGAUGGCAGAUUAGCUAGUUGGUGGGGUAAAGGCCUACCAAGGCGACGAUCUGUAGCUGGUCUGAGAGGACGACCAGCCACACUGGGACUGAGACACGGUCCAGACUCCUACGGGAGGCAGCAGUGGGGAAUUUUGGACAAUGGGCGAAAGCCUGAUCCAGCAAUGCCGCGUGUGUGAUGAAGGCCUUCGGGUUGUAAAGCACUUUUGGCGGGAACGAAAAGGACUGUGCCAAUACCACGGUUCGAUGACGGUACCCGCAGAAUAAGCACCGGCUAACUACGUG
rnacentral:rRNA from 1 species